AUCACUUCUCAGCCUUUUGACUAAGAUCACGUGUAGUAUCUGUUCUUGUCAACUUACUGUUGGAUACGACCUCUAACCAGGACAGUGGAUUAAAGUGAUUUUUGAAACAAGGAGAAUGAACAGGAGCUUGCUUCAUCUACCCCAUGCAUCAGCCUGGUAUACAGUACUUCCAGGAAUGGUGCACCCCUC